rnacentral:piRNA from 1 species
UUUGUAGAAAACGUUAAAAGU